GACGAACGCUGGCGGCGUGCUUAACACAUGCAAGUCGAACGGUAAGGCCCUUCGGGGUACACGAGUGGCGAACGGGUGAGUAACACGUGGGUGAUCUGCCCUGCACUUCGGGAUAAGCCUGGGAAACUGGGUCUAAUACCGGAUAGGACCAUUGCCUGCAUGGGUGGUGGUGGAAAGCUUUGCGGUGUGGGAUGGGCCCGCGGCCUAUCAGCUUGUUGGUGGGGUGGUGGCCUACCAAGGCGACGACGGGUAGCCGGCCUGAGAGGGUGACCGGCCACACUGGGACUGAGAUACGGCCCAGACUCCUACGGGAGGCAGCAGUGGGGAAUAUUGCACAAUGGGCGCAAGCCUGAUGCAGCGACGCCGCGUGAGGGAUGACGGCCUUCGGGUUGUAAACCUCUUUCAGCACCGACGAAGCGCAAGUGACGGUAGGUGCAGAAGAAGGACCGGCCAACUACGUGCCAGCCGCCGCGGUAA
rnacentral:rRNA from 1 species